ACGGAAGGCAGCAGUGGGGAAUAUUGGACAAUGGAGGAAACUCUGAUCCAGCGACGCCGCGUGAGUGAAGAAGUAUUUCGGUAUGUAAAGCUCUAUCAGCAGGGAAGAUAAUGACGGUACCUGACUAAGAAGCCCCGGCUAACUACGUGCCAGCAGCCGCGGUAAUACGUAGGGGGCAAGCGUUAUCCGGAUUUACUGGGUGUAAAGGGAGCGUAGGCGGUUUGGCAAGUCUGAUGUGAAACCCCGGGGCUUAACCCCGGGCAUGCAUUGGAAACUGUCGGACUAGAGUGUCGGAGAGGAAAGCGGAAUUCCUAGUGUAGCGGUGAAAUGCGUAGAUAUUAGGAGGAACACCAGUGGCGAAGGCGGCUUUCUGGACGAUAACUGACGCUGAGGCUCGAAAGCGUGGGGAGCAAACAGGAUUAGAUACCCUGGUA
rnacentral:rRNA from 1 species